GAGAUUCUGUCUGUAUACCACGGGAAACAAGCACAGGCCUGUAUUCUUCUAUAUUCUGGGCAUACAAUCUUUCCUGAAACGCUGAAUACAUAUUCGAGACUCAGCUCUUAGUGCAAAAGGGAGAACCAAAGCUAAACAUGAAUGCAAAGUAUGCUGCCAUCGGCUCUCUUCUGCUUGGUUUUAUUGUCAUCACUGUAGCCGCAGAUCCGCCCUGUCCUCUUGUGAAUUGCGUGUCCGGAUCUAAAGUGGGAUGCUUCAUAACGCAGCAGAGGUGCCAGUGUUCAUGUGUUAAAGGUAUCGACCCUUGUCGGUAUGUGAUCCAGCACUACUCUCGUAACUGCGCCCCAAACCACACACUAAAGUGCAAGACAGAUCUCCAGGCAUGCAAGUGUCGUUGCGGUA